CGCACCAUAAAACCAUAUUCAUAAUAACACACUAUUUUAUUUAUUACUACCAAGUCCAACUUCAUAGACCACAUUACAUAACCUAAUUCGUAUUAAAAAUUAUAAACUGUAGCUCACUUAAUAAACCUUUUUUAUAAGCUGCAUUUUGACUUAUCAUCCUAACCUUAUAUUACUAUGUCUUUAAAAUUUUACAAAAUAGACUGACGACAGCAAUAUACAAACUGUUUAAAAUUCAAAAAAAAGUAAGUAUAAAUUGAGGGUUAUCAAAUUAAUAAGCAAGCUCCCCUGAAAGGAUGUAUGGCACCGCCAAGUCUUUUAAAUUUCUAACAUACAUAUUUAAUAAAUAAAAUAUUUGUUUGUACUACUAAGUAUAAA
rnacentral:rRNA from 1 species